ACUUCAGCGCUGCAACUGAGGAAAAAAAGAACGAAGCUGCAGACAAUCCAUCCAUUAAUCCAAUCAUUUUCUUCCUUUUUCUUCUGUUUUUCCAGCGCUGGAUUAUUCCAGCUCCUCCUGGGGGGUCCAGAGGCAUUCCCAGGUCAGAUGGAUAAUCCCUCCAGAGAGUUCUGGGUCUACCCUGGGGUCUCCACCAGGAGGAUCCUGAUCAGAUAGCCUCAAAGUGAGGACCAUCUUUCAAAGUGAAGCAGCAGCUGCUCUGCUCUGAGCUCCUCCUCUCUCUCUCUGAGACUGAGCCCAAACACCCUCCUGGAGGAUCUCAGUUCCCCUCUUUGUUCCAGCGAGAACAAGACCCUGAGAUACCUGAGCACUUGGGUUUAAACCCCAGAAUAAGGAAGAUUGAGGAUCUUACCAACAGGACACAUGGGACAGCACUCAUUCCCAAACACAUACUCCGUCCGAUGGCAGAUUCUGCUCCUAAAUCUGCAUCUCUGAAGUUCUACCUUUCAUGAGCGUCCUCCACAGCAGAGGUUCUCAAACUUUUCAGGGCUAGGGACCUCGUACAGGAUACCCCUCCAAGGACCCCCACAUGACCCUCACACUGAUUAAACAUGUGUUAACUGUCAUCUGUACUCCUAGAUGCUGUAUUUUAAACUCUUCUACCUAAAUAAAAGCUCUUGUCCA